CUUUUUACCCCAAACUAGGGCAGCAGCCUGCAGACAGACGGUCCAGGAACAAGGAAGCCGGUCAGAGGGUCCGAGAGGGGGCGCUGGACCGGACCCCGGGAGGGGGCGCUGGACCGGGAGGGGGCGCUGGAUCGGGAGGGGGCGCUGGCCCGGGAGGGGGCGCUGGACCGGGUGGGGGUGCUGGCUCGGGAGGGGGCGAUGGACCGGGAGCAGGACACCCAGCGGCCCCGCCGGGCAGCAGCGUCCUCCCCAUGCCGCCCACUCACCACGUCCAGGUCCUGGGAAACCCUCCGCUUCCGCAGCUCCUCCAUCCUCUCGCACACAUCGGAGAAACAGGUGUUGUAAUAGUCUGCAUACUGCUGCGCCAGGUCAUCGAUGUUUCCCAGGGAGCCGUCCUGAGGGCGAGGCGGGCAGCAGGAAAAAAACAGGAAAACAACAAAGGCGGUGAGUCCACCGGCACGAAGACCUACAGCUUUUGGUGCCCCUCCCCCCAGCAUUUACAGUAAGAACGGCAGGUAUUCGUUAAGUGGGAAGUAUGGGCGCCACCUCCAAAUCCUCCGGACAGCUAUGGACACGGGGGACACAGGAACUAUGUGCUCGCCUUUACAGUAACUCAGAGAAGUUGAGUGCCCACCGGGUCUAGGGCUAACAAGCAAAGAAGGCAGAACUCCAACCCAGGACUGCCGCGGCCAAGGCCGCGGUCUGAAACCCACACCUCUGCCCGCCUGGCAGGGCUAAGAAACCCCCAGGCAGGCGCCUUCAGAAGAGGCACUGUCCGGGCAAGAGGCUCCCCGAAGCCCCAUCCGUGGCUGCACCAGAGCCUCCUGAGAAGUCCCGACGCCAGGACCCCACUCCUGGGAAUUCUGAUUGCGAGCGGAGGGCGGAGGACCCGUGAGGGAUGCCGCAGCUGAACCACACCUGUGCCUCCCUGAGACCCUUGAAAAGAAAAAAAAAAACCCUAUUCCUUGAGUUAUUCCAAGUACACAAGCGAGAAGCACACACGUUAACAAAUUCACCUAAAGAAGAAACAGGUCUGUGGCCCCAGCAGCCGCUCCGGAGCCCACGUUCCUGAGUUCACACUCAGCUCGGCAGCCGCUCACAAUUCAGGGGCCUGAGGCGUUUCCUAAGCUCUGGAAACUCUGGAAUAGUACGGAUAACCUCUGGACAGAUAACCUCCGGUAACACUGGAAUAGUACGGAACCUAUCUCUCAAGGAGAAGCGGUGAAGUAACACGGUCCACCUGGCACACAAUGUCGUUUAUGGUGUAGGGUAUCCAGACAGGCUUAUGGAGGAAAAAAAAAAGAAGACAAAAGUCCUGAAAACACCCGGAAAUACAAUGUAAUCUGUGCUGUUGUAUGCAGAUCGCAUGCAAAUGAAUGCAAAUGAACCUGUAAUCUUGCUAUUUUUCUGUACCUAUAAAGACAGAGCCCCAAGGGAAAACUCCAAGUGUCGCUCUGAAUCCCCAACGUUGAGGGGAAGAAAGAGAA